GAUGAAGAACGUAGCGAAAUGCGAUACGUAAUGUGAAUUGCAGAAUUCAGUGAAUCAUCGAAUCUUUGAACGCAUAUUGCGCUCUCUGGUAUUCCGGAGAGCAUGCUUGUUUGAGUAUCAGUAAACACCUCAACUUCCAUAUCUUUUUUGAAAUGGGAGUUGGACUUGAGUGAUCCCAACGCUUUUCCUCACCGAAAAGUGGCGGGUUACUUGAAAUGCCGGUGCAGCUGGACUUUUCUCUGAGCUAUAAGCAUAUCUAUUUAGUCUGCCUAAAAAACAGAUUAUUACCUUUGCUGCAGCUAACAUAAAGGAGAUUAGUUCUUGUGCUGACUGAUGCAGGAUUCACAAAGACAGGCUUCGGCCGACUUUGUAAACUCGAUCUCAAAUCAAGUAAGACUACCCGCUGAACUUAAGCAUAUCAAUAAGCGGAGGA
rnacentral:misc_RNA from 1 species